GACAGAGGUGCCAAGCGUUAGGCGGAACACUGGUGCUUAAAGCGUGUGUAGGCGGAUCGUUAAGUACCUUGUGAAAUCCCACGGCUCAACCGUGGAACUGCUGGGUAUACUGGCGAUCUUGAGCCACCUAGGGGCGAGCGGAACAAACGGUGGAGCGGUGAAAUGCGUAGAUAUCGUUUGGAACGCCAACGGUGAAAACAGCUCGCUGGGGGUGUGCUGACGCUGAGACACGAAAGCCAGGGGAGCGAACGGG
rnacentral:rRNA from 1 species